AAGGAGCCGGGGAGGAGGUUGGAGCAGCGCGAUGGGGGACUCCAAAGUGAAGGUGGCGGUGCGCGUCCGCCCCACGAACCGGCGAGCGGCCGAGAGUCAUGAAUGCCUCACAACUGGUGACUGCAGAGCUAGAAAAUGGAAUGACAACAGCUCAGCAGCCGCUUUAGAGACAGCCAGCGUGGCUUCGCCGAGGGCAAAUCGUGCCCGACUAAUCCAGCGGCCUUCCAUGAUGGAGUGACGGCAUUAGAGGACGAGGGAAGAGCUACGGAUGUCACCUGCCUGGAGGACGUCAGUGAGGCACGGACAGUUUUGCAGGCAUCCAUGAGUGAAGGACCAGAGUACCUCAAUCUGUCCCUUCAACAAUCCUUCCCCGCUCCAUGUUUUCAAUUGGAAACCGCACCAGUGAGCUCCUAAAUCCAGGCGGCGCCUCUGCAGAAGUGGAGCAAAACCAACAUGAUUCAGCAGAUGAAGCUGUAAAAUAUUCCAACCUUUGAAGUCAAGGCAGUUCAGCCUGACCAUUCAUGUAUCUCAG